AGUUUGGCGCGAUAAAAGAUUUAUCCCCUUAUUGCAAAAACACUUUUGGAAAGAAAAAACUUUUUGGACUGAUGGAUUUUUUGUUUGCUCUAUCGGUGAAGCUAACCCUGAAACUAUCAAGGCGUAUAUAGAAAAUCAAGGUUAGUUUCACUUAAGGUUUUUAUAUAGUUCCUAGCGGAACUAAAGCAUUCAUCCCAAACACUAAAGAUAUUUGGGAUUUCUGCUUGGGUGGUUUAAAAUUAAAAGCGAAUUAUUAUUUCAAAAACAAAGAAUUACUCUCUCGUAUUAACUGGGAAGUCAAGCCCAAUGAAGAAGUGUUUUGAUGGAUUAAAAAAGUUUGCAUGAAUGUUUUUUAAUUGCUUUUUAAAAAUCAUUUUCUACAACUCCUUAUCCUUGUUGCUAAAAAAGAAUGCAUCAAUUUCUAACACGGAUUUGCGUUAGAUGAUUAGUAAGAUUUAAAAUAAAGAUUAACAUUUUUGUAGUGUAGAUUAGCGUAGCUUGUUUUUAGAAAUUAGCAUGUUCUAUUUUAAAGUUAGCGCAACUUAAAUUAAAAAUUAGCACGGAUGGUUGUGUGGAUAAAUUUUUUAGUGUUUGAUCACUUUUUAAAUAGCUCGCUAUGAGUGUCUAGACGCAAUAAAACAAGUUCGUUUUCUUGUUUUUUGAUUUCAUAAAUCAAUAACAAGUUUGGCUUGACAUGACACUCUCUCAGCCCUUUAAGAUUGCCACUUAAGGCAUGGUCGCAAUAUUUUUGUUGGAGUGGUUUUUGCUCUUUGAGGCAAUCAACAACGCUUGCAACAUCGCUUUCUUUAAUACGCUAGGACUAAGAUAUGCUUAUUAAAGUCUUUAAGAAAAUCUUUCUUAGUUCUGACUUUAAGCAUUAUGCCUUUCUCUUUCUUGUUUUGCUAUUUGCAAAAAAUCAUUGAAGUCUCCAAACGAAACAUCGCAUUCUGGGUCAUCUUUUGAGGCGAUCGUAUUUAACAAACUUGGUGUGGGUUCUUUUUCUUGAGAAUGUUUUUGGGCUAAAACCUGUCUGAUCAUUUGUUCUUGCAAUUCACACUCUUGGAUUUUUUUUACCGCCUUAUUUUUAUCCCUUUCUGCCUUAAGCAAUUGUUUUUCAAUGGAGUUUAAGAAAUUGUGCAGUUGCUUUUCAUUGUAUUGCGAGUAAUCUGUAAUAAUAUUUGACAUAUUGAACUCCUUUUUAAUAAGAGAUUGUUAGUAAAGAUUAUAGCCCAAAUUCUUGUAAAAAAUUGGUUUGAAAAGAGCAAAUUGAAAGUUUUAAAAUAAGUUUUUUUUGAUUAAGU
rnacentral:rRNA from 1 species